GACGAACGCUGGCUGCGUGCUUAACACAUGCAAGUCGAACGCUGAAGCCGACAGCUUGCUGUUGGUGGAUGAGUGGCGAACGGGUGAGUAACACGUGAGUAACCUGCCCCUGAUUUCGGGAUAAGCCUGGGAAACUGGGUCUAAUACCGGAUACGACCACCUGACGCAUGUUGGGUGGUGGAAAGUUUUUCGAUCGGGGAUGGGCUCGCGGCCUAGCAGCUUGUUGGUGGGGUAAUGGCCUACCAAGGCGACGACGGGUAGCCGGCCCGAGAGGGCGACCGGCCACACUGGGACUGAGACACGGCCCAGACUCCUACGGGAGGCAGCAGUGGGGAAUAUUGCACAAUGGGGGAAACCCUGAUGCAGCGACGCAGCGUGCGGGAUGACGGCCUUCGGGUUGUAAACCGCUUUCAGCAGGGAAGAAGCGAAAGUGACGGUACCUGCAGAAGAAGUACCGGCUAACUACGUGCCAGCCGCCGCAGUAA
rnacentral:rRNA from 1 species